GGGAACUAUGGGUCCCACCUCCAGAGACUUGUCCGUUUUGCUCAAAAGCCUUGAUUUCCGAACACUGAUAACCGCACGAAGUCAUGCCCACUUGGCAUAGUGGUCGUUCCACAGGCCAUGGCGCUGGAGCACCGCUUGCUUGAACUCGUCGAGCACUUGAUUUUUCUCGUUACUCUCUUGCUCUCAUCUUCUUCCUUUCUACUACGAUCCUGUAGAUCUACUUUCUUUCAGCUCCUACUGAACGUUUCUACAACCGGUUGCCGCAAGUCGACGUCCUCGAGUAUCGACUGGUAUUACGCUAGUUUCACUGAUUCUUUCCAUGUCGCUCCAAUUUGUGGCAGCCAAGAAAACCCCAAUGAAGGUCGAUGCAGUUCAUGAAAUGGAGGAAAUCCCCUGCUUUGCAAGAAAAGAUUUCUUAAAAAGGAUUGGUAUUGCAAAAUCCGCUUUUACUCAAGUCACAGCUCCGCUUGAGACAAAAGAAGGGUCCAUUUUUGUUGUUAAUGUGAGCAACGAACAAGACACAACUUAUUUUCUGGUAGGUAUUGGAAACAAUUCUUGGAAUUGUACCAGCUCUGGGUGGGUAAAGAAAUGAGCGUCACUUUAGCUGGUGACACUGAUCGAUCAAUAUCUGUCAACCUGCCCAAUCCUCCAAUUGCUCAUCCUUGUAUGGUCUUUCCUUCAUAUCCAUGUCUGAAUACAACAUUCAUUACUGCUUCUAUUGAAUUUCAAAUGUUACAUUUUAACUAAGGUUCUUUAUAUACACAUAUACAUAUGACAACUUAUUUCAAACUGGAUAAAGCACACAAAAACAUCAUCUAGAGCAUUGAUACUACAUUUGGAACAACAAAAACCUAGGAAGACAUUGGUCAUGCUAUUGAGUUUAUUAAGCGUAUGCAGAAUCUUGAUGAUACAUUUAUUCUGUCCCUACACACCGAUGAAGACUAACAUAAAGAAGAAACUCCUGGUGCGCUUUAUAUUGUAUAUUAUGUUUCGAACCAUCUUCUGUUACAUUAUGUACAAUAGUUUUUUUACCAUAAUUUUCUUUUGACAGUGACUACCGAAAAGUGCGAUGCCUAACAUCAUAGAUGAAGCAGGCUUUAUCAAGAUUAUUUUGGAUCCCACUGCAGAAUUCACAUGUAAGUACACAUGCUCAGUCGAUGAUCGUGUCAUUGUCAACGGAUGGACAGAAAUACUCAAGCUGGCAAGAUUUAAAGUUGGAGAGAAACUCUUGUUCAUCAAGCACGAGGAUACUAAAGGGGGUCUCCUAUUUGUUGUUCCACUUAGAUUUAUCUUAGUUCCAACUGUAUGAAGAAACCCUAUGUGUAGGGGAACAUUGCAUGAAAAACAAAAAAAUCCUACGAAUUCACCCAAGAUAUAAUCUAGGAGAUGCUAGCAAUGAAAGGGGCUGUGUCUACAUGCCCUUGUAGAUCGAAA